rnacentral:rRNA from 1 species
UAGGGAAUCUUCCGCAAUGGGCGAAAGCUUGACGGAGCAACGCCGCGUGAGUGAUGAAGGUCUUCGGAUCGUAAAACUCUGUUAUUAGGGAAGAACAAAUGUGUAAGUAACUAUGCACGUCUUGACGGUACCUAAUCAGAAAGCCACGGCUGACUACGUGCCAGCAGCCGCGGUAAUACGUAGGUGGCAAGCGUUAUCCGGAAUUAUUGGGCGUAAAGCGCGCGUAGGCGGUUUUUUAAGUCUGAUGUGAAAGCCCACGGCUCAACCGUGGAGGGUCAUUGGAAACUGGAAAACUUGAGUGCAGAAGAGGAAAGUGGAAUUCCAUGUGUAGCGGUGAAAUGCGCAGAGAUAUGGAGGAACACCAGUGGCGAAGGCGACUUUCUGGUCUGUAACUGACGCUGAUGUGCGAAAGCGUGGGGAUCAAACAGG